rnacentral:rRNA from 1 species
AGUGAACGCUGGCGGUAGGCCUAACACAUGCAAGUCGAACGGCAGCACAGUAAGAGCUUGCUCUUACGGGUGGCGAGUGGCGGACGGGUGAGGAAUACAUCGGAAUCUACUUUUUCGUGGGGGAUAACGUAGGGAAACUUACGCUAAUACCGCAUACGACCUACGGGUGAAAGCAGGGGAUCUUCGGACCUUGCGCGAUUGAAUGAGCCGAUGUCGGAUUAGCUAGUUGGCGGGGUAAAGGCCCACCAAGGCGACGAUCCGUAGCUGGUCUGAGAGGAUGAUCAGCCACACUGGAACUGAGACACGGUCCAGACUCCGACGGGAGGCAGCAGUGGGGAAUAUUGGACAAUGGGCGCAAGCCUGAUCCAGCUAUACCGCGUGGGUGAAGAAGGCCUUCGGGUUGUAAAGCCCUUUUGUUGGGAAAGAAAAGCAGCAGGUUAAUACCCCGCUGUUCUGACGGUACCCAAAGAAUAAGCACCGGCUAACUUCGUG